AGAAGAAAUCAUAAAAAAAAGUAGUGGGGAUAAUUUUCCCGCAAUUACUCUGUUACAUGCCUUUAUAUUAUAUUAAUAUUAUGUUA